rnacentral:rRNA from 1 species
AUUGAAUGCUGGCGGCAGGCCUAACACAUGCAAGACGAGCGGAUGAAGAGAGCUUGCUCUCUGAUUCAGCGGCGGACGGGUGAGUAAUGCCUAGGAAUCUGCCUGGUAGUGGGGGACAACGUUUCGAAAGGAACGCUAAUACCGCAUACGGCCUACGGGAGAAAGCAGGGGACCUUCGGGCCUUGCGCUAUCAGAUGAGCCUAGGUCGGAUUAGCUAGUAGGUGAGGUAAAGGCUCACCUAGGCGACGAUCCGUAACUGGUCUGAGAGGAUGAUCAGUCACACUGGAACUGAGACACGGUCCAGACUCCUACGGGAGGAAGCAGUGGGGAAUAUUGGACAAUGGGCGAAAGCCUGAUCCAGCCAUGCCGCGUGUGUGAAGAAGGUCUUCGGAUUGUAAAGCGCUUUAAGUUGGGAGGAAGGGCAGUAAGUUAAUACCUUGCUGUUUUGACGUUACCAACAGAAUAAGCACCGGCUAACUUCGUGCCAGCCGCCGCAGUAACAC